AUGCCUCAGGAAAUAAAGUCUUUGCUUUCAUUUUUUGGAAGUCAAUUCGCCAGCAGUCAAAAAACAUGGAAAGUCACCAUUUUGGAUUCUUAGCAUUCCCUCUGAAGAUACUGCAAGAAAUUGAAUGAGAUAUGUGAACUAUGGGGUCCUGGACAAUCUCCUGAGGAGCUGUACAGUUCUCUUAAAAAUUACCCUGUGGAGAAGAUGGUUUCAUUUCUACAUUCAGACUCUACAUAUAAAAUAAAGAUUCACAUUUUUAAUAAGACAUUGACACAAGAAGAGAAAAAUCAAGCAAACAGAUGCAUGUAAAUUUCUCCUAUUUUAAGAAAACGUGAAUUUAAAGAAAUGACAACAUAUAUUCUCUGUUUUGGAGGAUUGUGGUUUGGACCGAAACUGCAUUCCUGAGAAUCCACAUGAUAUUUGUUUUGAUAGAUGGAUUGCAGAUGGACAGAGAGAGCUUACUGAGUCAUACCGUGUCAAAAAGGGGCGCUUUGCUAGAAAUACAAGUGUGGAUGCUGGUUUGUCAUGCAGCAUGGCUAACCAUGGGAAAGUGAAAGAAAAUGACAUUGUCUUUGAUCCAUUUGUCAAAACAGCAGUGUACUAUGGCCUCAUGAUAGCAUCUGCUCAUUUUGGUGCCUAUGUAUAUGGGGCAGACACAGACUACAGCACAGUUCACGGCUUGGGAAAGGCCAGUAGGGAAAAAAAACAGAUAUGGAGAGGACCAGAAGAAAACAUUAGAGCCGAUCUUUGUCAAUACAGUUUACAGAAGUAUUACCUUGAUGUCCUGGUGUCAGAUGCAUCUAAACCUUCCUGGAGAAAGGGCACAUGUGUUGAUGCAGUCAUUACCAAUCCCCCACAUGGUAUCAGAGAAUCUACGAGAACAGGGUCACAGAAGGAAAUACCGAAAGAGGUGGAAAAACGUCCAGAAAGCCACGUUCCUGUUUCCUUGAGUUAUCAUCUGAGUGAUAUGUUUGUUGACUUUGUUAAACUUCGCAGCUGAGACCCUUGUGUUAGGUGGAAGACUAGUAGUCUAUCGGUUACCAGUGUGUACACCACAAUACAUUGAAGAGAUGGUGCCCUGGCACCCUUGCGUGAAACUCGUUAGCAACCGUGAGCAGAAGCUUUCCAGUCACUCAUCAAGGCACCUGAUCACAAUGGAAAAGGUGAAGAAAUUUGAGAACCGGGACCGGUAUUCAUGUCUGCAAAGUGAUCGUUUUCUGCCAUACCAAGGCCAUAAUUGCUUCCGUGAGAAAUAUUUUAGUGG